UUUCCGUAGGUGAACCUGCGGAAGGAUCAUUAUUGUAUCACUGAGGUGCGAGGGCUGUCGCUGACCCGAAAGGUCGUGCACGCCCGAGUGCCCUCACACACAUCCACCUCACCCCUAUGUGCACCACCGCGUGGGUCCCCCUUUGGCUUGUUCGGAGGGGGGCUUACGUUUUCACACAAACUUUGUAUGCAGUGUAGAAUGUAUUUUUUGUUUUUGCGAUCACGCAAUCAAUACAACUUUCAACAACGGAUCUCUUGGCUCUC
rnacentral:misc_RNA from 1 species